CCUACGGGAGGCAGCAGUGGGGAAUUUUGGACAAUGGGGGAAACCCUGAUCCAGCCAUGCCGCGUGAGUGAAGAAGGCCUUCGGGUUGUAAAGCUCUUUCGGCUGGGAAGAAAUCGCACAGGCUAAUACUCUGUGUGGAUGACGGUACCAGCACAAGAAGCACCGGCUAACUACGUGCCAGCAGCCGCGGUAAUACGUAGGGUGCGAGCGUUAAUCGGAAUUACUGGGCGUAAAGCGUGCGCAGGCGGUUGUGCAAGACAGAUGUGAAAUCCCCGGGCUCAACCUGGGAACUGCAUUUGUGACUGCACGACUAGAGUACGGCAGAGGGGGGUAGAAUUCCACGUGUAGCAGUGAAAUGCGUAGAGAUGUGGAGGAAUACCGAUGGCGAAGGCAGCCCCCUGGGCCGAUACUGACGCUCAUGCACGAAAGCGUGGGGAGCAAACAGGAUUAGAUACCCUGGUAGUCCACGCCCUAAACGAUGUCAACUAGUUGUUGGUAGGGUUAAACCUAUUAGUAACGUAGCUAACGCGUGAAGUUGACCGCCUGGGGAGUACGGUCGCAAGAUUAAAACUCAAAUGAAUUGACGG
rnacentral:rRNA from 1 species